UGCAGUCGAGCGGAUGAAGGGAGCUUGCUCCCUGAUUCAGCGGCGGACGGGUGAGUAAUGCCUAGGAAUCUGCCUGGUAGUGGGGGACAACGUCUCGAAAGGGACGCUAAUACCGCAUACGUCCUACGGGAGAAAGCAGGGGACCUUCGGGCCUUGCGCUAUCAGAUGAGCCUAGGUCGGAUUAGCUAGUUGGUGAGGUAAUGGCUCACCAAGGCGACGAUCCGUAACUGGUCUGAGAGGAUGAUCAGUCACACUGGAACUGAGACACGGUCCAGACUCCUACGGGAGGCAGCAGUGGGGAAUAUUGGACAAUGGGCGAAAGCCUGAUCCAGCCAUGCCGCGUGUGUGAAGAAGGUCUUCGGAUUGUAAAGCACUUUAAGUUGGGAGGAAGGGCAUUAACCUAAUACGUUGGUGUUUUGACGUUACCGACAGAAUAAGCACC
rnacentral:rRNA from 1 species